rnacentral:rRNA from 1 species
AGCAAUCUGCCGGGGAGUGGGGGAUAGCUCGCCGAAAGGCGAAUUAAUACCGCAUGUGGCCAGGAAGGACACCCUUCCAAAGCCAAAGUCGCAAGACGCUUCCUGAUGAGCUCGCGGCCUAUCAGCUAGUUGGCGGGGUAACGGCCCACCAAGGCUCUGACGGGUAGCUGGUCUGAGAGGACGACCAGCCACACUGGAACUGAGACACGGUCCAGACACCUACGGGUGGCAGCAGUCGAGAAUUUUUCACAAUGGGGGAAACCCUGAUGGAGCGACGCCGCGUGGAGGACGAAGGCCUUCGGGUUGUAGACUCCUGUCAUGCGGGAACAAGACAGUGAUAGUACCGCAAGAGGAAGAGACGGCUAACUCUGUGCCAGCAGCCGCGGUAAUACAGAGGUCUCAAGCGUUGUUCGGAUUCAUUGGGCGUAAAGGGUGCGUAGGUGGCGGCGCAAGUCUGGUGUGAAAUCUCGGGGCUCAACCUCGAAAUGGCACCGGAUACUGCGUCGCUCGAGGACUGUAGAGGAGAGAGGAAUUCACGGUGUAGCAGUGAAAUGCGUAGAGAUCGUGAGGAAGACCAGUUGCGAAGGCGUCUCUCUGGGCAGCUCCUGACACUAAAGGCACAAAGGCCAGGGGAGCAAACGGGAUUAGAUACCCCGGUAGUCCUGGCAGUAAACGGUGCGCGCUUGGUGUGGGCGGGUUUCAGACCCCGUCCGUG